AGAGUUUGAUCAUGGCUCAGGACGAACGCUGGCGGCGUGCCUAAUACAUGCAAGUCGAGCAGACAGAUGGGAGCUUGCUCCCUGAUGUUAGCGGCGGACGGGUGAGUAACACGUGAGUAACCUGCCUGUAAGACUGGGAUAACUCCGGGAAACCGGGGCUAAUACCGGAUGGUUGUUUGAACCGCAUGGUUCAAACAUAAAAGGUGGCUUCGGCUACCACUUACAGAUGGACCCGCGGCGCAUUAGCUAGUUGGUGAGGUAACGGCUCACCAAGGCAACGAUGCGUAGCCGACCUGAGAGGGUGAUCGGCCACACUGGGACUGAGACACGGCCCAGACUCCUACGGGAGGCAGCAGUAGGGAAUCUUCCGCAAUGGACGAAAGUCUGACGGAGCAACGCCGCGUGAGUGAUGAAGGUUUUCGGAUCGUAAAGCUCUGUUGUUAGGGAAGAACAAGUACCGUUCGAAUAGGACGGUACCUUGACGGUACCUAACCAGAAAGCCACGGCUAACUACGUGCCAGCAGCCGCGGUAAUACGUAGGUGGCAAGCGUUGUCCGGAAUUAUUGGGCGUAAAGGGCUCGCAGGCGGUUUCUUAAGUCUGAUGUGAAAGCCCCCGGCUCAACCGGGGAGGGUCAUUG
rnacentral:rRNA from 1 species